rnacentral:rRNA from 1 species
UACGUAGGGGGCUAGCGUUGUCCGGAAUCAUUGGGCGUAAAGCGCGUGUAGGCGGCCCGAUAAGUCCGCUGUGAAAGUCCAGGGCUCAACCCUGGGAUGCCGGUGGAUACUGUCGGGCUCGAGUCCGGAAGAGGCGAGUGGAAUUCCUGGUGUAGCGGUGAAAUGCGUAGAGAUCAGGAAGAACACCCGUGGCGCAAGCGACCACCUGGCCGAGACCUGACGCUGAGGCACGAGAGCGUGGGGAGCGAACCGG